GUGCUCGCGUGGGCUGCACAUACACUGACGUUGGAACGAUACAAAGAUGAUUAGCAUGGCUGGUCCCUGAGCAAGGGUGACACCCAAAUUCACGAGGCGUUCCAUAUUUAA